rnacentral:lncRNA from 1 species
CCGUCAACUUCACUGAGCCACCAUCGGUACCUCCCUCUCCCUUCAAUUCGUGUCUCUCUAACUCUCUGAUUUCCCUCUGUUCCUUUCUCGCUUCUAAAUUUUCACCUCAAAUUUCAGUAAGCAAAACUGAGCCCUAGCCCCAUUUCUGGAAUCGCCGCUGUCGCGGCCCUUCUCCGGCGCGAUGGAUCGCCGUUGGACAUGUGAAUCGGCGAGAGUCGCCGUCAGCAUCGGGUCUCCCGACCUUAGGUGUCUUGCUGCCUUCGCCCUUGAGUUCCAGCUAGCGGAUGCUUCCGUCGAUGCACUCUGCCCAUCGGAACAGAACUCGUUCUGCUUGGUGUCGCCCUUAGGCGCAGCCAUGGCGCUCUGCCCCAAACCCCCAGAUUGAACGGCAACAGGCCACCAAGGAUAAAACUCAACAGGUUACUAGCAUUUUCUAAGUUCAUUCUAUCUUAUGAAAUCUUGGUUUUCCAUACUCCGAUUAUGCUUAUGCUGGAGAUUACACUAGGCAUGAUUUUGCUAUCUGUCGUAAGAAAUUCUCAUUGUAUUUGCCUUGUGUGAAAGUCAUGGGUUGUUGAUUCUAUAUGGAUAAAAGAUUAUACCAUUCGUCUCCUACUAUGCUUUUCAAAUAAACUGAUCAUAUGCUUCAUGGGAAAUGAGGCGUGUAACAAAGAAGAAAGCAUACUGAUGUAAAAAUACCUUGAAUGUUUGUUCUUUUGGCUGUCUGUGCUGCUAUGUUCAAUAAGAAAGAGCUUAAAUGAAUUGCAUAUUUUGUUUAGCAAUUGCAGACUGAACUCAAGAAGAAAUGGUGAAAGAGUUGGCCAUUCUUACCUUUCUGAGUCUGCCAGAAGCUGAAUCAAAAUUCUUUCCCUUUGAGAGUUGGUACACGAAGGAAGAUAUGAAGGAGAAUUUGUUGACUGAAAUUAUAGAAGAAAGGGUUGUUGGCUAAUAGUAUAAAGAGUGGAGUUGGU